AUGGGCACCUUAGCCGCGGCGAUUCCCGCGACGACGACGGCGUCCAGGCACGCCGGCGGAAGACGACACCGCCGCCGCGGCUCCGUCGCCGUGCGCUGCUCGUCCGCGGCCGACGAGCGGCAGGCCCUCUUCAGCCGCAUCGCCCCCGUCUACGACCAUCUCAACGACGUGCUCAGCCUGGGGCAGCACCGGACGUGGAAGCGCAUCUGCGUCUCUUGGUCAAUGGCGAAGAGAGGGGAUCGGGUUCUUGAUCUCUGCUGCGGGAGCGGCGAUUUGGCGUUCCUUCUGUCUCAGAAGGUCGGCCUAGACGGAGAGGUGAUGGGUGUGGAUUUCUCAGGGCAGCAGCUGCAAACUGCUGCUAGCCGUCAGGACCAACGCUGGAAGGCUUGCUACAAGAACAUCAAAUGGAUCGAGGGCGAUGCACUUGAUUUACCUUUCACGGACCGUUACUUUGAUGCUGUUACGGUUGGCUAUGGAUUGCGCAAUGUGGUUGACAGACCCAAAGCAAUGCGAGAGAUCCUUAGAGUCCUAAAACCAGGAUCACGAGCAUCUGUUCUGGAUUUUAACAAGAGCUCAUCAUUUUUCACGGCAUCCUUACAGAGUUGGGCGAUUGAUAAUGUCGUGGUUCCUCUGGCUAGUAGCUAUGGACUUACUGAAGAGUACAAGUACUUGAAAAGUUCGAUAUCACAGUAUCUUACAGGAGAGGAGUUGGAGAAGUUAGCCAAGGAAGCAGGGUUUUCCUCAGCCAAGCACUAUGAACUUGGUGGAGGGCUCAUGGGAAACCUAGUAGCAACGCGCUGA
rnacentral:rRNA from 1 species